rnacentral:lncRNA from 1 species
AUCCAGGUGCUAGGGAUAUCUGAUACCCUAUAGCACAUGCACGCCAUCUUUAGGGCAUUUCUGAGGUCAGGAUGCUUCAGCUCUCACCCCUGCUUCCUCUCUUUGCCAGAGAGAAGUGCUAUCAGCUACUAAAAGUGAAUACUAAAUGGCCUAUCUAUGUCAGAGGGAAGCCCAAAGCCCAGGAAGAAAUGAUGGACCAGAAACAACAGGACAUGCUCGAAGACUUGCUGCAUGGUGGAUGGCCCAGAGACGGCGGGGCUCACAGAUGGUCACGUUUAGUGCUUGCAGAUUGGUAAUGCCUGUGCCCUUGGCUUUGUUUAUUCUGGUCAACCAGUUGUCAGUGCUGCCAUCGAGGGCUUUCUGGACAGCAUGGCACCUUCCGUAAGGAGACCUUGGCUUCAGUAGCUAGUCCAGGUAUGUACAAUGACAGUCACACACUCGCAUUAUGAUGUAUAGCGGUGCUGUGCUUCCUGACAAGAACCUAACCACUGAUGAAAGGGUUGUGAUAUUUGGGAGGGUGCUGGUAUCAUUUCCAGACCAUCAUGGGAGGGAGAGAAUCAUGCAGCAGAUAAUGUGUGUCUCCUGCUUUGGGUGAGCCCUACUCCUUGAUGAUUUGAAUAAGUCUGUGGAGUCAGGCGAGUGUAAGGGUGUUCUGGUGUUACCCUGGUAGAAACACGAGUAUCAGCUGGCACGUAAUUGGUCACUCUUCCUGCUUUUGCUCCAGAGAUGAUUCCUUGACCGACACAUCUUGCUG